UGAGGAAUCUUGCGCAAUGGGGGAAACCCUGACGCAGCAACGCCGCGUGAGUGAGGAAGGUCUUCGGAUCGUAAAGCUCUGUCGGAUGGAAAGAACCGCAUGAAGGUUAACAGCCUUUGUGUUUGACGGUACCAUCAAAGGAAGCACCGGCUAACUCCGUGCCAGCAGCCGCGGUAAUACGGGGGGUGCAAGCGUUGUUCGGAAUUAUUGGGCGUAAAGAGCGUGUAGGCGGCCUGAUGUGUCAGAUGUGAAAGCCCUGGGCUCAACUCAGGAAGUGCAUUUGAAACUGUCAGGCUCGAGUAGGGGAGAGGGAAGUGGAAUUCCUGGUGUAGAGGUGAAAUUCGUAGAUAUCAGGAGGAACACCGGUGGCGAAGGCGACUUCCUGGCCCUAUACUGACGCUGAGACGCGAGAGCGUGGGUAGCAAACA
rnacentral:rRNA from 1 species